rnacentral:rRNA from 1 species
UACGUAGGGUGCGAGCGUUGUCCGGAAUUAUUGGGCGUAAAGAGCUCGUAGGCGGUGUGUCGCGUCGGCCGUGAAAACCUGCAGCUUAACUGUGGGCUUGCGGUCGAUACGGGCAUCACUGGAGUUCGGCAGGGGAGACUGGAAUUCCCGGUGUAGUGGUGAAAUGCGCAGAUAUCAGGAAGAACACCCGUGGCGAAGGCGGCUCUCUGGGACGGUACUGACGCUGAGACGCGAAAGCGUGGGGAGCGAACAGG